ACACGUAUGAAGGUCAAGCUGAAAGACUUUACUCAAUGAUGUAAGUGGUGGUGCAUGGUCGUUCGUAGUUCGUGGAUUGAUUUGUCUGGUCUAUUCCGAUAACGAGCGAGACCCCAUCGUUCCUAAUAGGGGCCGCAGCCCAGCCGGCCGCAAGGUCGGCUAGCAGCGGCUUAAGAUUAACUUCUUAGACGUAUCAGAGCCGAUAAGGUUCUUGAAAUGGGUUAAUAACAGGUCAGUCAUGCCCUUAGAUGUUCUGGGCCGCACGCGCGUUACAAUGGCAUGUAUAGCGAGUGCUGCAAAAGGCGAUACCGGGGCCGAAAGGCCCUGGUAAUCCCUAAUCCCUGCCUUGACUGGGAUAGAUCCUUGCAAUUAUUGGUCUCUAACGAGGAAUUUUUAGUAAUCGCGGGUCAUUAACCCGCGUUGA
rnacentral:rRNA from 1 species